GUUGUUCCUGAUACACUCUUUGUGAAUUACAUUCAAUAACUAAGAACAAACCAUUGCCCCCUUUAUUAAUGAACGAGGCUAACUACUGUGGAAAUCUUCAAAGCAAAUGCAAAUGCAAAUGCAAAUCCAAUCAUAUUAAUUCAUAAUCACACUCCUUUCGACUGAAACCAAAUUUGAAUAAGAUGAAAAACGAAGCAAUUGCAACCAUAAGCACCGGAAGAACACCCACCUUCGAACAUAUAGAAUGCCAGCAUAGAAAAUUCAUCUAAAUACUCUUAGAUUUAACAUAUCUAAGGAAUUACAGAACAUCCCAAAACUGAAUAAGAGAAAACAUUAUCAGAUAGAAGAUAGAAUAGUAGAAGAUUCAGCAUUUACACAGUACAAACCGUGUAUGAAUUUCUGGCCGUGAUUUACAAAUUUGAUAACACAAAAAAACGAUUUCAAAACUAAUCAUAACUAACUUUAUUAAUUUGGCGAACCACUCAUUUCUUCUACACAUAUAUAUUUCACAUCCAAUUUAUAGUUCAAAUAAGAGUAUCUAGUUAUGCAAGAACUGAUUUAAAGGGCCAAAUGAAGGCUGAUAAAGAAAGUUGAAACUCAACAACCAGCACAGUCCAGCAGAAACAACAGCAGUUUUUCCUAAAGACCCAGAUUUUGGGAGCUCUUUUCCUUUUCAGAUCUUUUUUUUGGUUUUGUUGGAUUUUUGAUUUCUAAAAGCUUCUUCUUACAUCUAUUUCAUAUGUGCGUGCACGUGAAGUGUAUGAGCAUGAUGUAUAGAUGAGAAUGGGGAAGUAGGAGUGCAAGAAAUGUGGGGNN
rnacentral:lncRNA from 1 species